AGAGUUUGAUCCUGGCUCAGGAUGAACGCUAGCUACAGGCUUAACACAUGCAAGUCGAGGGGCAGCGAGAAGAAAGCUUGCUUUCUUUGUCGGCGACCGGCGCACGGGUGAGUAACGCGUAUCCAACCUUCCCCUUAGUAGGGCAUAGCCCGGCGAAAGUCGGAUUAAUACCCUAUGUUAUCCGAAGAGGACAUCUGAAUUGGAUUAAAGAUUUAUCGCUAAGGGAUGGGGAUGCGUCUGAUUAGGUAGUAGGCGGGGUAACGGCCCACCUAGCCUACGAUCAGUAGGGGUUCUGAGAGGAAGGUCCCCCACAUUGGAACUGAGACACGGUCCAAACUCCUACGGGAGGCAGCAGUGAGGAAUAUUGGUCAAUGGACGAGAGUCUGAACCAGCCAAGUAGCGUGCAGGAUGACGGCCCUAUGGGUUGUAAACUGCUUUUAUACGGGGAUAAAGUGAGGGACGUGUCCCUUUUUGUAGGUACCGUAUGAAUAAGGACCGGCUAAUUCCGUGCCAGCAGCCGCGGUAAUACGGAAGGUCCGGGCGUUAUCCGGAUUUAUUGGGUUUAAAGGGAGCGCAGGCUGAUUGUUAAGCGUGACGUGAAAUGUAGCCGCUCAACGGCUGAACUGCGUCGCGAACUGGCAGUCUUGAGUGAGUACGACGUCAGCGGAAUUCGUGGUGUAGCGGUGAAAUGCUUAGAUAUCACGAAGAACCCCGAUUGCGAAGGCAGCUGACGAGUCCUUUACUGACGCUAAAGCUCGAAGGUGCGGGUAUCGAACAGGAUUAGAUACCCUGGUAGUCCGCACGGUAAACGAUGGAUGCCCGCUGUUGGCGAUACAAUGUCAGCGGCCAAGCGAAAGCGUUAAGCAUCCCACCUGGGGAGUACGCCGGCAACGGUGAAACUCAAAGGAAUUGACGGGGGCCCGCACAAGCGGAGGAACAUGUGGUUUAAUUCGAUGAUACGCGAGGAACCUUACCCGGGCUUGAACUGCACAGGAAGGAUACAGAGAUGUUGACGCCCUUCGGGGCCGCUGUGGAGGUGCUGCAUGGUUGUCGUCAGCUCGUGCCGUGAGGUGUCGGCUUAAGUGCCAUAACGAGCGCAACCCCUUUCGUCAGUUGCCAUCAGGUCAAGCUGGGCACUCUGGCGACACUGCCACCGUAAGGUGUGAGGAAGGUGGGGAUGACGUCAAAUCAGCACGGCCCUUACGUCCGGGGCUACACACGUGUUACAAUGGGUGGUACAGAGAGUCGGCCGCUGGCAAUGGCGGUCCAAUCAUCAAAGCCAUCCUCAGUUCGGAUUGGGGUCUGCAACCCGACCCCAUGAAGCUGGAUUCGCUAGUAAUCGCGCAUCAGCCAUGGCGCGGUGAAUACGUUCCCGGGCCUUGCACACACCGCCCGUCAAG
rnacentral:rRNA from 1 species